AACUUUCAACAACGGAUCUCUUGGUUCUGGCAUCGAUGAAGAACGCAGCGAAAUGCGAUAAGUAGUGUGAAUUGCAGAAUUCAGUGAAUCAUCGAAUCUUUGAACGCACAUUGCGCCCCUUGGUAUUCCAUGGGGCAUGCCUGUUCGAGCGUCAUUUGUACCUUCAAGCUCUGCUUGGUGUUGGGUGUUUGUCUCGCCUCUGCGUGUAGACUCGCCUCAAAACAAUUGGCAGCCGGCGUAUUGAUUU
rnacentral:rRNA from 1 species